rnacentral:rRNA from 1 species
CAGUCGCCGCGGUAAUACGAAGGGGGCUAGCGUUGUUCGGAUUUACUGGGCGUAAAGCGCACGUAGGCGGAUCCUUAAGUCAGAGGUGAAAUCCCAAGGCUCAACCUUGGAACUGCCUUUGAUACUGGGGAUCUCGAGUCCGGGAGAGGUGAGUGGAACUGCGAGUGUAGAGGUGAAAUUCGUAGAUAUUCGCAAGAACACCAGUGGCGAAGGCGGCUCACUGGCCCGGAACUGACGCUGAGGUGCGAAAGCGUGGGGAGCAAACAGGAUUAGAUACCCCCGUAGUCCCUGUCUCUUAUAC